AAAGACGACCUCAGUUCGGAUUGAAGGCUGAAAUUCGCCUUCACGAAGUCGGAAUUGCUAGUAAUGGCAGGUCAGCAUACUGCCGUGAAUACGUUCCCGGGCCUUGUACACACCGCCCGUCACACCAUGAGAGUUAGGAAUACCCGAAGCCUGUGAGCUAACUUUUAGAGGCAGCAGUCGAAGGUAGAGCCAAUGAUUGGGGUGAAGUCGUAACAAGGUAGC
rnacentral:rRNA from 1 species